CUGAGUCUGCGCGGAUCCCCCUUUUUGCCCCUGCCCUUCUCUCCAGCGGCGCGACGGUACGAACGGGGGAGGGUCACAUUCCUCAGCUUGUCCCUCCCUCCACCCUGUUACCAGGAGGGUAAAGAGUGGAGCAAAGUUACUUGAAUGAAAAUUGUUGGUCUAAGUGGUAUUUACAUACAACAUUUCUGAUACAUCUGAAAUGGAAGUAAACAAGCCUUGUCUGAAAAAUCCACCUUCAAAGGGAAGAACUUUAUCCAUGGAGAAUGGCACCUCGGUCUGUGUAUAAGCUGGAAGAAUACUUACUGGGGCAAGAAUGAAGACACCUAUUGUUCUGCAUCCAAGGAGAAAAAGGAAACAACAACAACAACAACAAAACAGAAGUAUAACUGCCCUGCAGCUAUAGUGAAGAGUACAAAUGGAGAGAUCAGUUCAUUAUUAUGACAGUACUGUUUGCAGUACAUCUUUCUGAACCAUUUUAAGUAAAACACUUCUUUGAACUUAG
ensembl:lncRNA